ACUUUUUCUUAUUGACACCUUCUGGGGUGUCAAUAAUUAUUUGUGAAUUGGAAUCAUUUUUUCCUCAAAACAGAGCAUGACUCUUGAAAUACAGCCACUACCUAUCGAUUAGCUCUGUGGUCAUUUUCAAGCAUCAGUGAGUACAGUAAAAAUAAGUAGCAUUUAUUUUAUACCGCUGCAUAAGCUUCGUACAUUGCUCAUUAAUAACUGAAAGGAGUCUUUAUUUUUUUUUAUUUUUCAAUUAUUGCACAGACCACAUUGACAUUUUCAGUAGCAAUAGGUCCCGGGAUAAACACAAAAUUCUUUAAGGGUGUUUUUUUUUUGCUGAUGGUGUUUUCUUUUGUUUUUCCUUAUUUGUUUUGAUUGAGGUUAUAAGCGUUCUGCUCUUUGAGGACAGUGCUGCAAUGAAGUGGACAUAUUUGUCACUGUGUGGUGUUAAUGCAAUUUCCUGUUUUUCCCACUAUAUGACUCUCCUUUUAAUCUUACUAGUGGUUAAUAUGCCGUUUUAUUUUUUGGUUAAAUGAAGAGUCCUGAGAUUCAGCAAGGAGAAAAUAAUUAAAACUAUUUGUUUCGCACAGGCUGUCAGCAGCUAUUAGGGAUUAGACAAAUAUAAAUUAAGUUUUCCCCUGCCCCCAGCCAUGGUACAGACUUUGCAAAGUUCACAAACAACUGUAAUCCUCUUUUAUUGAGCAUGGAUUUGAAAGUAAAGGUCAGUUAUGUUUUGGUCACUAAGGAGUUUGUACAGUUGCUGAAGACCAAGUGUUUAGGUUAUUUUUAAGAGUUGAGUUUAUUUUUAUAUAAAAAGUGUGCUUGUUGUCUGGGCAGCUCAUACCUCGGGAAGGACAGCACACUCAGAGAGAUGCUGGCAUGUGCAGGUGGUCCCCACACACUGCCACCAGCCCUACAGCCUUGUGAUGCAACGUGCUGUGACUGGAGCGGCCAGGCUGUUGCAGGGCAUGUUGGAAGGGCAGGUAGAGAAAUGGGUGGAAGUUUAGACUGCAGAUGUGUUUUGCAUACCACCCGGGAAGCAGAGCCCUAGUCUCGUCUGGAACAGCUCGAUUCCACAGCAGAGCACGUAUUUAAUAACAAUAGGCAGCUUCAGAACUGUGCAGACUUGCAGGGGAAGAGCAGAAUUUUAAGCGAGCCGCGGGAAGCGCAAGAGGACUGGGGCAGGGCUGCCCAGCUCUGGCAGUCUGCGCUGGCAGCCAAGUCUCUGCUCAGACCUCAGCCUUUAUUUCGGGGAGUUAAAAGCAGCGAGCAAACCCCGGCAGGUUUCUGCAUUAAUUCCUCUGGAAAUUUUCCCGGAAAACAAGUUUCAUAAUCUGCAACAUUGCUGUUUGCAGCACAUCACCAAGCACGGGCAGGGACGGCUCUUCAAUUGGAAUCACAAGGCGAACAUGCAUGUGCAGCAAAAAGACGUUACCAAAGAAUUCCAUAUGAGCUCCCUAAACAAAGCAAAUUACUUCAACACCAGAUGAGUCUGUAGCGUGUAUUUAUUGAACCAGAGAACCUGGCAGUAUUUAUUUCCCACUCUAAACAACUGCUCUAACCUCGUAGUAAGACCUGUGAAUAAAAGCACAGAAACUCUCCUGGAGCUCUUAAUAAAAUGAAAAGGUUAAUUCUCACCGCAUUACUCUGGCUAUUGACAAUUCCACAAACAUAAAAGUCUCUGGGUUAUUUUGUACAGUAUCUCAGGCCAUAAGCUGCCUCUGCCCUUAGUCAAUCCAGUACCAAAACCCCAGGCUUUUCAUAAAGUAAUGGCUCCAUGUGCUACUUUAAUGAUGAUUUACCAAACAACUUAGAAAUAAAUCUGGAUAUUAACAUGAACAACCUUACUGGAUAGUAAAAGUCUGAGUAUUCCUACUUGUUAGUAAUAAGCAACCUUCAGGACAUCCCACUUCCUUGCUUCCUUUUAUCUAUUCCAUUGGCAAGAACUGCUUUUUUUUCUCUUUUUUCCAAUUUGUAAAUUUAUACAAAGGCUCCCAAGGCUAACAUCUCCCUCUGCGAUACAAAAAACAAUUUUCCCUUCUUUCAGAUUGUUUAGCCAAUUAAAUGUGAUGGAUUCAAGCUCACAAGGAACUGUGGUCAAGAUGGAAGAUGAUUCCAUUUCAGACCUUAGACUCCAGAAGAAGGAGCCUCUACAACCAUCUAUGCAGCAGUAUCACCUGACAUGGAAGGAGUUGGCGGCUGCUACCUUUACAAUGAGGAAAGGACAAAAUCAGCUGACGUAGC